UACAGAGGUCCCAAGCGUUGUUCGGAUUCACUGGGCGUAAAGGGUGCGUAGGCGGUCGGGUAAGUCUGAUGUGAAAUCUCGGAGCUCAACUCCGAAACGGCAUUGGAUACUAUUCGGUUUGAGGGUUGGAGGGGGGACUGGAAUUCUCGGUGUAGCAGUGAAAUGCGUAGAUAUCUGGAGGAACACCGGUGGCGAAGGCGGCAUCCUGGACCAACACUGACACUGAGGAGCGAAAGCCAGGGGAGCAAACGGG
rnacentral:rRNA from 1 species